GAUGUGCCAAUAUAUUAAUAAUUUUUUUUUCGAUUUUCUUUAGUGAAACGAUGUCGUUUCAUUCCCCAUCUUCCGGUCAUCCACCGCAGACCCUCCCCAUCUUCACGUCUCUCAGCCUCUUCAUCGCCAUUCGCCACCACCAAACAUGCCCUUCCCCAAAACGUCCGCAGACAACCAUUUCUUCAGCUCUCUUCCAAGCACCACCACCAAUCCUUCUAAUCCUCAAUCAUCCUCGCCUCCCAAUCCUCAAUCAUCCACAAUCGCCUUGUGUAAAUAAUAAUAAUAAAAAUAAAAAAUC
rnacentral:lncRNA from 1 species